AUUGAAGCUGAGUCAUCUCUUUGAGAACACCAUUCAUCGGAAACUGAUUGAAGGUAUGCGGAAAUGGGAAGGAAAAGUAAUCUCAUCAACAGGUAAUCGUUAGUUAUGCCGAAGAUUUGAUAAAAACACACAACUCAUUUUAGUUAGACAGAACUCGAAAAAA